rnacentral:rRNA from 1 species
GGCGUGCUUAACACAUGCAAGUCGAGCGGUAAGGCCCUUCGGGGUACACGAGCGGCGAACGGGUGAGUAACACGUGGGUGAUCUGCCUCGUACUCUGGGAUAAGCCUGGGAAACUGGGUCUAAUACCGGAUAUGACCACAUGUCGCAUGGUGUGUGGUGGAAAGAUUUAUCGGUGCGAGAUGGGCCCGCGGCCUAUCAGCUUGUUGGUGGGGUAACGGCCUACCAAGGCGACGACGGGUAGCCGACCUGAGAGGGUGAUCGGCCACACUGGGACUGAGACACGGCCCAGACUCCUACGGGAGGCAGCAGUGGGGAAUAUUGCACAAUGGGCGGAAGCCUGAUGCAGCGACGCCGCGUGCGGGAUGACGGCCUUCGGGUUGUAAACCGCUUUCGACUCCGACGAAGCGCAAGUGACGGUAGGAGUAGAAGAAGCACCGGCCAACUACGUGCCAGCAGCCGCGGUAAUACGUAGGGUGCGAGCGUUGUCCGGAAUUACUGGGCGUAAAGAGCUUGUAGGCGGUCUGUCGCGUCUUCUGUGAAAAUUCACAGCUCAACUGUGAACCUGCAGGGGAUACGGGCAGACUAGAGUACUUCAGGGGAGACUGGAAUUCCUGGUGUAGCGGUGAAAUGCGCAGAUAUCAGGAGGAACACCGGUGGCGAAGGCGGGUCUCUGGGAAGUAACUGACGCUGAGAAGCGAAAGCGUGGGUAGCGAACAGGAUUAGAUACCCUGGUAGUCCACGCCGUAAACGGUGGGUACUAGGUGUGGGUUUCCUUCCACGGGAUCCGUGCCGUAGCUAACGCAUUAAGUACCCCGCCUGGGGAGUACGGCCGCAAGGCUAAAACUC